CGGCGCGGGACCGUUUCUAGGCUAGCACACGUCCGACGGGGAGAAACGACGACGGGCGGCCGUCUGUUUUAUCUUGCGCGAACACGCUCGUGCACAUCGAGGAAGUGGCCACCACCGUCGUCGUCGUCAUCGCCAUCGCAGCCGCCGCCCUCCUCAUCUUCCUCGUUGCGUGAUCGGGAGUCCCGCGUUCCCGACUGGAGCGAGACUCGUUUGUUUCUGCGGCGAGGCUGCUUCCUACUCCGCAGGUGGUGCGUAACGAGGCGGCGGAAAAAAAAAAAAAAAAGGAGAGAGAUCGGGGAGAGACAGACGGAGAUAGAGGUGUGGGGUGAGGAGAGGGAAUGGAAAACGGCACGUUAUCGGCCGUUUCCGGGCCCUUUGUCGAUCGCCACGCCUUCGAGGUUGCGUUUGCGCCACGUUAUUUGCGCAACAGUUGGAAGCUGGAAUUUCGUCUCCCCGAAAAUCACCCCCGCACGCGGCCCAAGUAAGGAAGGGAGAGAAGCAUUCCCGACGAGCGCGAGCUGCAUUGCCUAUCCGUCGUCGUGGACGGAGAACCUAGGAACAGCUCUGGCUGGCUGGCUCGCACCACCACCACCACCACUUCUAGCAGCACCACCAGCCCCCCGUCGCCCUUUCGUUUUGCAAGAGGGCCGACCGUCGUCGACAGUCCGUGAAUCGUGCGCACACAUGGCCAAUUGCCGUACGUUACAUGCACUUAUACGGGGUGUACCCGAAGACGCGCGCUUCCUUAGUGGCUAAGAAGCGAAACGGUUCCGUCAUUAUCAGGCUAACGCGCGCGGAAAAUUAACAAUCGUACAGUCGAUGGUUGUAAAGUCAAAUUUGAGAGAAUCGACGAUCAUAGAGUCGUUAGCUUUCGUCGUGGAGCAAGAUCGAGGUAGAUUAAGAAUCGGAGCAAUUAUGAUAAAAUCUGAAUUUCAAUCGGCGGAGCUCGUGUGAAAGAAUCGAAGCAGGUAGACGCGAAGGAAGCCCGCGCGGUUUCCGGAACAUCCCGUAUAACCGCGUCACAUAUCUGUAUCGUUUCAUAACGCUAAAUUUAACGACUGACCCGAUCAAUUAACGGGUCUCGGAGGCGCGCGGAGGCGUAGUUGCAUGUCGACGUUCGUUCUAUUUUCUUCAUCUAGCGCUUCUCAGAGCUAAAAGCGCUCUAUAUAGCGAGAUAAAAUUCCCGCGAGUUCUCUUUCCUGCGUGAAAAAAAUAUCGUAGGUAAAUCGAAAUUCAAUUUUGUCAACGAUCGUCCCACGCAACACGCCGCUUCGUGCCACGCACUUGGAAGUGCAUCCGACGCAUCCAUGCAGAGAUCCCACUUCACGCAUUGUUAAACGACGCCUUUUGCAAAAUUAUGCGAACUCUUCGGAAUCGAGGAAGUGAUCUGGCCUAUCAUUUAUUCAUCAAUAUACUUAUUCGACACAUUGCGACAAAAUUAA